rnacentral:tRNA from 1 species
GCCGAGGUAGCUCAGUCGGUAGAGCAGAGGACUGAAAAUCCUUGUGUCAGGGGUUCAAUUCCCUUCCUCGGCA